rnacentral:misc_RNA from 1 species
GAUGAAGAACGUAGCGAAAUGCGAUAAGUAAUGUGAAUUGCAGAAUUCAGUGAAUCAUCGAAUCUUUGAACGCACAUUGCGCCCAUUAGUAUUCUAGUGGGCAUACCUGUUCGAGCGUCAUUAAUUCCACUUAAGCCCUGCUUAGUGUUGGGAAUCUACUCUAGUGGUGCUACCCUGGAGCUACCCCUGAAAGGGGGCUGGCCCGGUAGCUACCCUGUAGUUCCUCAAAGAUAGUGCGCGGAGUUGCGUGGUCCUCUGAGCUUAGUAACUAUACACCUAGCUUUUGAGUGUCCCGCGGCGCCUGCCGUUUAAACCCCAUCUUUUAAUGGUUGACCUCGGAUCAGGUAGGAAUACCCGCUGAACUUAAGCAUAUCAAUAAGCGGAGGA